GAUAAACGCUGGCGGCGUGCCUAAUACAUGCAAGUCGAGCGAACGGACGAGAAGCUUGCUUCUCUGAUGUUAGCGGCGGACGGGUGAGUAACACGUGGAUAACCUACCUAUAAGACUGGGAUAACUUCGGGAAACCGGAGCUAAUACCGGAUAAUAUUUUGAACCGCAUGGUUCAAAAGUGAAAGACGGUCUUGCUGUCACUUAUAGAUGGAUCCGCGCUGCAUUAGCUAGUUGGUAAGGUAACGGCUUACCAAGGCAACGAUGCAUAGCCGACCUGAGAGGGUGAUCGGCCACACUGGAACUGAGACACGGUCCAGACUCCUACGGGAGGCAGCAGUAGGGAAUCUUCCGCAAUGGGCGAAAGCCUGACGGAGCAACGCCGCGUGAGUGAUGAAGGUCUUCGGAUCGUAAAACUCUGUUAUUAGGGAAGAACAUAUGUGUAAGUAACUGUGCACAUCUUGACGGUACCUAAUCAGAAAGCCACGGCUAACUACGUGCCAGCAGCCGCGGUAAUACGUAGGUGGCAAGCGUUAUCCGGAAUUAUUGGGCGUAAAGCGCGCGUAGGCGGUUUUUUAAGUCUGAUGUGAAAGCCCACGGCUCAACCGUGGAGGGUCAUUGGAAACUGGAAAACUUGAGUGCAGAAGAGGAAAGUGGAAUUCCAUGUGUAGCGGUGAAAUGCGCAGAGAUAUGGAGGAACACCAGUGGCGAAGGCGACUUUCUGGUCUGUAACUGACGCUGAUGUGCGAAAGCGUGGGGAUCAAACAGGAUUAGAUACCCUGGUAGUCCACGCCGUAAACGAUGAGUGCUAAGUGUUAGGGGGUUUCCGCCCCUUAGUGCUGCAGCUAACGCAUUAAGCACUCCGCCUGGGGAGUACGACCGCAAGGUUGAAACUCAAAGGAAUUGACGGGGACCCGCACAAGCGGUGGAGCAUGUGGUUUAAUUCGAAGCAACGCGAAGAACCUUACCAAAUCUUGACAUCCUUUGACAACUCUAGAGAUAGAGCCUUCCCCUUCGGGGGACAAAGUGACAGGUGGUGCAUGGUUGUCGUCAGCUCGUGUCGUGAGAUGUUGGGUUAAGUCCCGCAACGAGCGCAACCCUUAAGCUUAGCUGCCAUCAUUAAGUUGGGCACUCUAAGUUGACUGCCGGUGACAAACCGGAGGAAGGUGGGGAUGACGUCAAAUCAUCAUGCCCCUUAUGAUUUGGGCUACACACGUGCUACAAUGGACAAUACAAAGGGCAGCGAAACCGCGAGGUCAAGCAAAUCCCAUAAAGUUGUUCUCAGUUCGGAUUGUAGUCUGCAACUCGACUACAUGAAGCUGGAAUCGCUAGUAAUCGUAGAUCAGCAUGCUACGGUGAAUACGUUCCCGGGUCU
rnacentral:rRNA from 1 species